rnacentral:rRNA from 1 species
UACAGAGGUCCCAAGCGUUGUUCGGAUUCACUGGGCGUAAAGGGUGCGUAGGUGGUGAGGUAAGUCGGAUGUGAAAUCUCCGAGCUCGACUCGGAAACUGCAUUGGAAACUACCUUGCUCGAGGGUUGGAGGGGGGACUGGAAUGCUUGGUGUAGCAGUGAAAUGCGUAGAUAUCAAGCGGAACACCAGUGGCGAAGGCGAGUCCCUGGACAACUCCUGACACUGAUGCACGAAAGCUAGGGGAGCAAACAGG